CGCGUGAGGGAGGAGGCCUUCGGGUUGUAAACCUCUUUUCUCAGGGAAGAAGAUCUGACGGUACCUGAGGAAUAAGCCUCGGCUAACUCCGUGCCAGCAGCCGCGGUAAGACGGAGGAGGCAAGCGUUAUCCGGAAUUAUUGGGCGUAAAGCGUCCGCAGGCGGCUUUUUAAGUCUGCUGUCAAAGGCCAGGGCUUAACCCUGGACAGGCAGUGGAAACUGGGAAGCUAGAGAGCGGUAGGGGUAGAGGGAAUUCCCGGUGUAGCGGUGAAAUGCGUAAAUAUCGGGAAGAACACCAGUGGCGAAGGCGCUCUACUGGGCCGUUACUGACGCUGAGGGACG
rnacentral:rRNA from 1 species